ACUCAAAGGAAUAGACGGGGGCCCGCACAAGCGGUGGAGCAUGUGGUUCAAUUCGACGCAACGCGAAGAACCUUACCUGGGCUCGAACGGCCGGUCAACGGAGGUGGAAACAUCUUUACCCCGCAAGGGGGUCCGGUCGAGGUGCUGCAUGGCUGUCGUCAGCUCGUGUCGUGAGAUGUUGGGUUAAGUCCCGCAACGAGCGCAACCCUUGUCCUGUGUUGCCAUGCCGAAAGGCGGAACUCGCAGGAGACCGCCAGCGAUAAGCUGGAGGAAGGUGGGGAUGACGUCAAGUCCUCAUGGCCUUUAUGUCCAGGGCUACACACGUGCUACAAUGGACGGUACAAUGCGCCGCGAACCCGCGAGGGGGAGCCAAUCGCAAAAAGCCGUUCUCAGUUCGGAUUGCAGGCUGCAACUCGCCUGCAUGAAGCUGGAAUCGCUAGUAAUGGCAGAUCAGCACGCUGCCGUGAAUACGUUCCCGGGCCUUGUACACACCGCCCGU
rnacentral:rRNA from 1 species